UACGAAGGUCCCAAGCGUUGUUCGGAAUCACUGGGCGUAAAGGGAGCGUAGGCGGCGUGGUAAGUCAGAUGUGAAAUCCCGAGGCUCAACCUCGGAACUGCGUCUGAAACUACUCGACUAGAGUACUGGAGAGGGUAACGGAAUUCACGGUGUAGCAGUGAAAUGCGUAGAUAUCGUGAGGAACACCAGAGGCGAAGGCGGUUACCUGGACAGUUACUGACGCUCAGGCACGAAAGCAUGGGGAGCAAAAGGG
rnacentral:rRNA from 1 species